CAGGGGGCUGAGUGGUAAAGAAUCUGCCUCUGAUGCAGGAGACGCAGGUUCGAUCCCUGGGUCCCUGA
rnacentral:tRNA from 1 species